rnacentral:rRNA from 1 species
AUUGAACGCUGGCGGCAGGCCUAACACAUGCAAGUCGAGCGGGAACUUCGGUUCUAGCGGCGGACGGGUGAGUAAUGCGUAGGAAGCUACCCGAUAGAGGGGGAUACCAGUUGGAAACGACUGUUAAUACCGCAUAAUGUCUACGGACCAAAGUGUGGGACCUUCGGGCCACAUGCUAUCGGAUGCGCCUACGUGGGAUUAGCUAGUUGGUGAGGUAAUGGCUCACCAAGGCGACGAUCCCUAGCUGGUUUGAGAGGAUGAUCAGCCACACUGGAACUGAGACACGGUCAAGACUCCAACGGGAGGCAGCAGGGGGGAAUAUUGGACAAUGGGCGCAAGCCUGAUCCAGCCAUGCCGCGUGUGUGAAGAAGGCCUUCGGGUUGUAAAGCACUUUCAGCGAGGAGGAAGGGUUGUGUGUUAAUAGUACACAGCCUUGACGUUACUCGCAGAAGAAGCACCGGCUAACUCUUUGCCAGCAGCCGCGGUAAUAC